UACGUAGGUGGCGAACGUUAUCCGGAAUCAUUGGGCGUAAAGGGUGCGUAGAUGGCAUGAUAAGUUAUUAGUGGGAAAUCGAGGCUCAACCUCGUGGAAGCUGGUAAUACUGUUUUGCUCGAGUGCAGGAGAGGUUAACGGAACUCCAUGUGGAGCGGUAAAAUGCGUAGAUAUAUGGAAGAACAUCAAUAACGGCGAAGGCAGUUAACUAUUCUGCUACUGACAUUGAGGCACGAAAGCGUGGGGAGCAAAACGG
rnacentral:rRNA from 1 species